GCCUGCUCAGCUGUGCGCUUGGGCUCAUUGGCCUCCCAACCUUUGUUCAGACUUGUUCCAGGACGGGCCAGCACCUCCUGCCUUGGACCUUUCCCCCUGAGCAGCACCCACAGCUCCUCUGGGCCUUAUUAGAGCUUCCACCAAAGCUGCGCUCUCUAAGCAUUAAGGCGAGUUUCUCCCAGGGAUUUGAAAGAAACUACUUGCUAGUGUAGGGAACUACCCACACGCUCCCCUUGUCCACAGCUCCCCAGCAUUCACACGUUUUCCCCCCAAGAAAGGGAGGAUUCUCUACCAGGACUCAGCAGUCUGCUCUACUUUCUGAGCUGCCUGAGGCUCAACACUCCCAGGGGCUCUAGACCCCCCAGACAAUAAGCUAAGGGUAUGGUCUUCAUUCUUUGCCUCUUUUAUCUCCAUUACCCCACAAUUGGCUGUGCUGAGGAAGGCUCCCUGGGAAUCUGCAUCUGUGAUAAAUAUGAAACUCUUACUUCUCUUUGAUCUGUUUAGAAUACCAAACAUGCUUACUUCAUAGUUGCUUUUGGAUUAUUCUGUAACCUCCAAUUCUUGGGGUUGUUAAUUGUCCUACAAAUCGCUUCUGCUAACUCUUCUUCCUGACAGUUCCUGUUCACAGGAGGCGUGUCACCCUAAGGUAAAUUCAUCGUCAGUGGUGGCCCUGUGGAGUCCCUGUGCUGUGGAUCACAGACCGUCUCUACAGAAAAGCUCUAUGUGCCAGUUAGCCUGCCUUGUUCCUGGACACCAGUCUCCGCCCCUCGUUACCUCUGCACCCUGAAGGGAGGGUGGCCCUGCAGCACUUGCCAGUGCCCACUAGAGGCCAGUGACGCUCGCCCGGUGCCCGGCUCUGAGACAGGAGGGACUCGGCUCCGUUCCAGACCAGCAGCCCAGAGCAGUGGGCCAGAGAGAAGAGAUGCCACCUAGCUGGAGAGCCCAGCGGCAGAAGGGAGCGUGGGUGAUAAAUUUAAAUAAGCAGCUUGACUUGGCAGCUUGCUGAGUUGUGAUGCAGUGAAAUUAAAAAUCUCGGCAAACUUGCAAACAUCUCUGAGAAAAAUCGGUGUCUAGCUGUGGUUCCGUGAUAGAAGGGUGCUGGAGGCUCGGGCUGGGCUUAGCCUCUGGCAGCUGCCCUUGCUUGCAGUAGGAUCAGC